UACAGAGGGUGCAAGCGUUGUCCGGAAUCACUGGGCGUAAAGGGCGCGUAGGCGGCUCAUGAAGGCUGUGGUGAAAGCCCGGGGCUCAACCCCGGAAUUGCCUUUGAGACUGCAUCGCUAGAAUUGUGGAGAGGUAAGUGGAAUUCCGAGUGUAGAGGUGAAAUUCGUAGAUAUUCGGAAGAACACCAGUGGCGAAGGCGACUUACUGGACACAUAUUGACGCUGAGGCACGAAAGCGUGGGGAGCAAACAGG
rnacentral:rRNA from 1 species